GCACAAGCGGUGAUGAUGUGGUUAAUUCGAUGCAACGCGAAAACCUUACCCACCUUUGACAUGUACGGAAUCCUUUAGAGAUAGAGGAGUGCUCGAAAGAGAGCCGUAACACAGGUGCUGCAUGGCUGUCGUCAGCUCGUGUCGUGAGAUGUUGGGUUAAGUCCCGCAACGAGCGCAACCCUUGUCAUUAGUUGCUACGAAAGGGCACUCUAAUGAGACUGCCGGUGACAAACCGGAGGAAGGUGGGGAUGACGUCAAGUCCUCAUGGCCCUUAUAGGUGGGGCUACACACGUCAUACAAUGGCUGGUACAAAGGGUUGCCAACCCGCGAGGGGGAGCUAAUCCCAUAAAGCCAGUCGUAGUCCGGAUCGCAGUCUGCAACUCGACUGCGUGAAGUCGGAAUCGCUAGUAAUCGUGGAUCAGAAUGUCACGGUGAAUACGUUCCCGGGUCUU
rnacentral:rRNA from 1 species